UACGUAGGCAGCGAGCGUUGUUCGGAGUUACUGGGCGUAAAGGGUGUGUAGGCGGUUGUUUAAGUUUGGUGUGAAAUCUCCCGGCUCAACUGGGAGGGUGCGCCGAAUACUGAAUGACUAGAGUGCGGGAGAGGGAUGUGGAAUUCCAGGUGUAGCGGUGAAAUGCGUAGAUAUCUGGAGGAACACCGGUGGCGAAGGCGGCAUCCUGGACCGACACUGACGCUGAUGAGCGAAAGCCAGGGGAGCAAACGGG
rnacentral:rRNA from 1 species